AUAUAUAUAUAAUGUGGGGAAUGCGUACGAGGUAUAUAUCCAUAUACAUAACGAGACACAUACGCAUACACGUAUACACGCGGAGCCGCAGACCGUGGAAUAGUUUGCGCGCGUGCCAGAUGCGAGUGACGUGUGUAAACUUUUCCUUUUCGCGCGGAGCAUGUCGAUUGAAUCGAUUCCCAAUCGAUCACGUUUAAUCUCGGUUAAUUCGUUAACUAGAAACUAGCUCGGCGACCACAGUGACGAUCCAAUAGCUCGAUCGCAUCAUUUCCGUUGUCUUGACUCGUCGCAACAUUUCGAAGUUGUUUCAAGAUAUUUUUUUAAGUACCUUUGUAUCGAGAUUUCUUUUAAAUACCUUCUAUUUGUAAAGAGUAUGUACUUGUAAUGAGGAGACUAAUUUCGAUCUGAAGAAAAUUUCGUUAACUGGCGAAGCUCGCGUUGCCGAUAUUACUCGUGUAAUUAUUCUCGAUGCGUACACGUGAUAAUCAAAAUUAUUUGAAAAUUUACUUUAAUUUUUAAAGACUAUGGAAAUGAAUUCCUUAACUUAAAAAAACCAUUUCGUUGACUGGAAAAGCUAGUGUUACCGAUAUGAUUAUUCAUAUUCGCCUGGAUAUUAUUUCCAUCAUGAUGUAUCGCAAUGAUUCAAGUUUAACCAAAAUUAUUUGAAAAUCUAUUUCAAAUAUCUUGUACCUUUGUAAAUACUAAAGAAACUAAUUCCGACCUACAGAACAUUUCGAGUAUGAUUGUGAUUCAUUGUCAUUCGCUUGAAUAUCAUUGUACCGUAAUAUUUCAAGUUUAAUCAAAAUUAUUUAAAAAUUUAUUUUAAACACCUUGCUCGUACUUGCAAAGACCAAGGAAACCAAGGACAGAUUAAUCGAUUAAUUGACAAAGUUCCUAUUGAUAAUAUAGUAGAAAGAUUCGAGUAAAAUUCAAACGAGGAAUAUCGAAUAAUCCAUCCAUCCCGCGGAGGAAGUGUCUCAAACAUGAAAUAUUUAAGCAUCUGGCACGCACACGGCGAUCGCCUCGUGAACCUUCGGGUUGGAGCUGAUUAGAGUAAUGAGCGAAAGAUGUACGAAAGCGUAUAAACGCGCGCGCGUUUAUAAGUGAUCGAUAGUUGGAGAAUAAUGGCCGCAAGCGGCCCUUUAACACGGCUAUUUAAUCACUGCGACUCUCGAGCUUCUGUUUGGUUCAAUGUACAAUGCGGCCCUCGCAGAUCCGAUCGCCGAUAGAUUCUUCGUCUCUCUGAACGUUUUCUUCUCGGCCAGCCUUCGAUCCUUGAAACGAGCCUCAGCGGCGCUCAGAUCGAUCGAGUGCAAUAACUAGCGUUGUUGUCUGCGUUAAAAUCUGUUCUAAAAGAUUGUAACACUUUUCUAACAGUCUCUUCUCUUUUACAGAGAGAAGAAUGUAUCGCGCGAUCGGUGAUUUGUCGAUGAGAAAAAAGGGGGGAGGGGGGGGGGACAAGAAGAAGAAAAAAAGAAAAUACGAAAGA